CCUACGGGAGGCAGCAGUGAGGAAUAUUGGUCAAUGGUCGGGAGACUGAACCAGCCAAGCCGCGUGAGGGAGGAAGGUACAGAGGAUCGUAAACCUCUUUUGUCAGGGAACAAAGGCGGGGACGUGUCCCCGGAUGAGUGUACCUGAAGAAAAAGCAUCGGCUAACUCCGUGCCAGCAGCCGCGGUAAUACGGAGGAUGCGAGCGUUAUCCGGAUUUAUUGGGUUUAAAGGGUGCGCAGGCGGUCUGUUAAGUCAGCGGUAAAAGCCCGGGGCUCAACCCCGGCCCGCAGUUGAAACUGGCAGUCUCGAGUUGGAGAGAGGUAUGCGGAAUGCGCGGUGUAGCGGUGAAAUGCAUAGAUAUCGCGAAGAACUCCGAUUGCGAAGGCAGCAUGCCGG
rnacentral:rRNA from 1 species